rnacentral:pre_miRNA from 11 species
UGGGAAGCGUGAUGUUGGGACGGCUCAAUCAAACCAAAGAUCUCAAUGGUUGAGUCCUUUAAUCUGAUUGAGCCGUGCCAAUAUCAUGUUCAAUACU